GGAUGACACUUUUCGGAGCGUAAACUCCUUUUCUUGGGAAAGAAUUAUGACGGUACCCAAGGAAUAAGCACCGGCUAACUCCGUGCCAGCAGCCGCGGUAAUACGGAGGGUGCAAGCGUUACUCGGAAUCACUGGGCGUAAAGGACGCGUAGGCGGAUUAUCAAGUCUCUUGUGAAAUCUAACGGCUUAACCGUUAAACUGCUUGGGAAACUGAUAAUCUAGAGUAAGGGAGAGGCAGAUGGAAUUCUUGGUGUAGGGGUAAAAUCCGUAGAGAUCAAGAAGAAUACCCAUUGCGAAAGCGAUCUGCUGGAACUUAACUGACGCUAAUGCGUGAAAGCGUGGGGAGCAAACAGGAUUAGAUACCCUGGUAGUCCACGCCCUAAACGAUGUAUACUAGUUGUUGCUUCGCUAGUCGAGGCAGUAAUGCACCUAACGGAUUAAGUAUACCGCCUGGGGAGUACGGUCGCAAGAUUAAAACUCAAAGGAAUAGACGGGGACCCGCACAAGCGGUGGAGCAUGUGGUUUAAUUCGAAGAUACGCGAGGAACCUUACCCGGACUUGAUAUCUAACAAAUCAUCCAGAGAUGGAAAGAGUGUCUGCUUGCAGAAAUGUUAAAGACAGGUGCUGCACGGCUGUCGUCAGCUCGUGUCGUGAGAUGUUGGGUUAAGUCCCGCAACGAGCGCAACCCACGUCAUUAGUUGCUAACGGUUCGGCCGAGCACUCUAAUGAGACUGCCUUCGCAAGGAGGAGGAAGGUGUGGACGACGUCAAGUCAUCAUGGCCCUUAUGUCCCGGGCGACACACGUGCUACAAUG
rnacentral:rRNA from 1 species